rnacentral:misc_RNA from 1 species
UUUCCGUAGGUGAACCUGCGGAAGGAUCAUUAUUGAAUAACCGAGGUCGAAGGGCUGUGGAGGACCGAAAAGGUCGUGCACGCCCGCGUGCCCCCGCACCCAUCCAUCUCACCCCUAUGUGCACCACCGCGUGGGUCCCCCUUGGGCUUGUUCGGAGGGGGGCUUACGUUUUCACACAAACUUUGUAUGCAGUGUAGAAUGUAUUUUUUGUUUUUGCGAUCACGCAAUAAAUACAACUUUCAACAACGGAUCUCUUGGCUCUC